UACGAAGGGUGCAAACGUUGCUCGGAAUUAUUGGGCGUAAAGCGCACGUAGGCGGCUUGGCAAGUCGGAUGUGAAAUCCCUCGGCUCAACCAAGGAAGUGCAUCCGAAACUGCUGAGCUUGAGUACGAAAGAGGAUCGCGGAAUUCCCGGUGUAGAGGUGAAAUUCGUAGAUAUCAAGAGGAACACCUGAGGUGAAGACGGGUUGCUGGGCUGACACUGACGCUGAGGCGCGAAAGCCAGGGGAGCAAACGGG
rnacentral:rRNA from 1 species